rnacentral:misc_RNA from 1 species
UACAGAGGGGGCGAGCGUUAUUCGGAAUUAUUGGACGUAAAGGGCGCGUAGGCGGUCCGGUCAGUUGGAGGUGAAAGCCCUGGGCUCAACCUGGGAGGUGCCUUCGAUACGGCCGGACUUGAGAGCGGGAGAGGAUGACGGAAUUCCCAGUGUAGAGGUGAAAUUCGUAGAUAUUGGGAAGAACACCGGUGGCGAAGGCGGUCAUCUGGCCCGUUUCUGACGCUGAGGCGCGAAAGCGUGGGGAGCAAACAGG